UACAGAGGUCUCAAGCGUUGUUCGGAUUCACUGGGCGUAAAGGGUGCGUAGGUGGUGAGGUAAGUCGGAUGUGAAAUCUCCGGGCUCAACCCGGAAAUGGCAUUGGAAACUACCUUGCUAGAGGAUUUGAGGGGGGAGUGGAAUACUUGGUGUAGCAGUGAAAUGCGUAGAUAUCAAGUGGAACACCAGUGGCGAAGGCGAAUCCCUGGAAAAUACCUGACACUGAGGCACGAAAGCUAGGGGAGCAAACAGG
rnacentral:rRNA from 1 species